rnacentral:rRNA from 1 species
UUCAAGGUGCUGCAUGGUUGUCGUCAGCUCGUGCCGUGAGGUGUCGGGUUAAGUCCCAUAACGAGCGCAACCCUUACUGUUAGUUGCCAGCGGGUCAAGCCGGGAACUCUAACGGGACUGCCACCGUAAGGUGAGAGGAAGGUGGGGAUGACGUCAAAUCAGCACGGCCCUUAUGUCCAGGGCUACACACGUGUUACAAUGGUCGGUACAAAGGGCAGCUACACCGCGAGGUGAUGCUAAUCUCUAAAGCCGGUCUCAGUUCGGAUCGAAGUCUGCAACCCGACUUCGUGAAGUUGGAUUCGCUAGUAAUCGCGCAUCAGCCAUGGCGCGGUGAAUACGUUCCCGGGCCUU